ACAAACCAACCGAGCAGAGCUGGGGGACCACAACACGCUGAACGGAAGAAUCCACGGCGAGGGGGAAAGGUUGAGCAUAUAGGUCUUAUCUUCCUCUGUCACCCUAUAAGUGGAGGCCAUACCCUGUAGCAUGUCUGUGUCUCUAACUCAGACCCAGAAGACAAUCCAUACAUGCCUAGGAAUGCGAGGAAGACAGACUUCCUCCCACAUCCAACCACUGAUUCCUUGCACUGUUCAGAGGAUACUCCUGGGCCUGGCUCAGUCAUCGGAAGCACCGGAACUAUAACAGCUCAGGACCAUCACACCUUUGACUGGCAGCUGCCGCCAGCAUGA